CUACGGGGGGCUCCAGCAGGGAAUAUUGCACAAUGGACGGAAGUCUGAUGCAGCGACGCCGCGUGGAUGAUGAAGGCCUUCGGGUUGUAAAAUCCUUUUCAGGGGGAAGAGAGAGGACGGUACCCUUGGAAUAAGCGUCGGCUAACUACGUGCCAGCAGCCGCGGUAAGACGUAGGACGCGAGCGUUAUCCGGAUUUACUGGGCGUAAAGCGUCUGUAGGCGGGUUCGUAAGUUGGGCGUGAAAGCUCCGGGCUCAACCCGGAGAGGACGUUCAAUACUGCGAAGCUAGAGGCCAUCAGAGGGGCGUGGAAUUUCCGGUGUAGCGGUAAAAUGCGCAGAUAUCGGAAGGAACACCAGUGGCGAAGGCGGCGCCCUGGGGUGGGCCUGACGCUAAGAGACGAAAGCUAGGGGAGCGAACAGGAUUAGAUACCCGGGUAGUC
rnacentral:rRNA from 1 species